rnacentral:lncRNA from 1 species
GUGGCGUUGAGGUGUUACCAUAUAUUUUUUAAUGCCUUGGUUGAUACAGUUCCCUGAGAAUAUAGUUACUUAAACACCUAAGAGUUUUGCUCAAGGGAAAAGAAAUGAGAAGGGAAAAAGAAGGGAAGGCAGGAGAGGAGAAAUGAGGGGAGAGGAGGGGAGGGAGGAAAGAAAAAAAAUCACCUUAAGAUGCUACAGAUUCCUUAAGCUUCAGGAGUCUGAUCGUGUCACUCUGAGCAUCUGCCUCUACUCUCCUAGAUGCCAUAGGAAGGAAACAACAGCUUGGCAACAUCUUCGCUACAUUCUUUUUGGACAGAUUGUUAACUUUGUUCUCCUUGGCCCGAGUUGGGUGUGGGGUUAUUUGUUACUUUGUUCUUUCCAGUUGAACAUCAGCACUGCUAUGUGUCACCAAACCUCUCGCUCUUGAGUCUUGAGACAGGUGGCCUGGAGCAUGCAGGUUCACAGUCUAAAACAACUCACUCCCCAGAUGGUGCCUUCAUGGUGGGCUGGAAGAUCAGCCGGCUUCUGACAACGGCCAGCUAGUGUUGUAUGUCGAGACUUUAGGGACUUGGCAGGUUUGUGUUUGGAGGGAUGGACUUCAGUGGUGAAGGGAACCAGAAAAACCUCAGAGACCUAAGGAUGCAGAGAUUUGCUGAUGGCUUCACAAGGACCUGGACAGGAUUCACAAAGUAGGUGUCUUGAGGGCCGGGUUGUCUUCUGCCCCCAACUUUUCUCCCUGCUUUACUCUCUUCCUAUCUUGGCUACUUUUUAUUGCUGUGAUCAAAACCAGCUUGAGGAGGAAAGGGUUUAUUUGGGUUACAGGCUGCAGUCGAUCACCAGAAGCCACAAUAGGAACUCAAGGCUGGAACCUGAAGGCAGGAACUGAAGCAGAGACCUUGGAGAAACACUGCUUCCUGGCUAUCUCCCCACGGCUUGCCUCUUAGACAACUCAAUGCCACCUUCCCAUGUGUGGCAUUGCCCACAGUGUGCUGGAUCUUCAUACGUUAAUCAUAAAUCAAGAGAAUGUCCCCAUCGAUUUGCACCCAUAAAUCUAAGCACAGUUUACAAGGAUCACAGAUGGAAGGAACCCCAAGUACCACAUGAAAGAAGCUCUUGCCUGCUUCUAAAGUUUGAGCCAAGGAAGUUGAGAGGUUUGUAAACAUGUGUACUGCCAGAUCCAUCCUAGGGUAGGAAAGGGAGAAAGGCAAAUAGAAUAUUGUUGUUGUUGUUAUUACUAUUGCAACCAAUAAUAUUUAUUUUGAAAUAGUGUUUUGCUCCAUAGCCCAGGAUAGACUUGAACUCACAUUCCUCCUGCCUGCCUCAGCUUCCCCAGGGCUUGGAAUUUAUAAGACACAAGCAUACCUGUGUAGGAACCUCUGUAGAGAAAAAUCUAACUGGCAGAAACUGUGUUACUAUCUAGAAGACACUGGACCUCUGUUAUAACUCCUGAAAGGACUGUGCAACAAAGCUGAAUUUAUGAAGCUUGGAAGAUGUUGUUUAAAAGUUGAGGGCCAGCUCGGUGACUCAAUGGAUCUGGAAACGGAGUCAGUCUGGGAGAGGCAAGUACUUCUCUCUGCUUGUGAGAAGGAGUGGGUGCCGACUCUUGCAAACCUUCCU